rnacentral:rRNA from 1 species
CACUCCUACGGGAGGCAGCAGUGGGGAAUAUUGCACAAUGGGCGCAAGCCUGAUGCAGCCAUGCCGCGUGUAUGAAGAAGGCCUUCGGGUUGUAAAGUACUUUCAGCGGGGAGGAAGGCGAUAAGGUUAAUAACCUUGUCGAUUGACGUUACCCGCAGAAGAAGCACCGGCUAACUCCGUGCCAGCAGCCGCGGUAAUACGGAGGGUGCAAGCGUUAAUCGGAAUUACUGGGCGUAAAGCGCACGCAGGCGGUCUGUCAAGUCGGAUGUGAAAUCCCCGGGCUCAACCUGGGAACUGCAUUCGAAACUGGCAGGCUAGAGUCUUGUAGAGGGGGGUAGAAUUCCAGGUGUAGCGGUGAAAUGCGUAGAGAUCUGGAGGAAUACCGGUGGCGAAGGCGGCCCCCUGGACAAAGACUGACGCUCAGGUGCGAAAGCGUGGGGAGCAAACAGGAUUAGAAACCCUUGUAGUCCCAUGA